GCUGGGACCUCAAGGGGCUCUGUGGUUCCAGGGAAGCAAUGGGACACAGAAUGGAGGGACAGGCCGAGACCUCUGGUGGAUGCAGCUUUCACAGUCCACUGACUGAAGAAGGCCAUGGUUAGGGAUGGAGAUCUACCUGCCCUUGAGGGACCAAUCUCAGGGCACGGAUCCAUCAAGCUGUCAUCUACGACUUCUGGUUAAUAGGGGCUGCAUGGGGAUGUCUAACAGCUGACUAUCCUUAAAGGCAAGCAGACCUUUAGACGGACAAGUAGUCUGAGGACCACAGCCAUCAUCAUCUCUGCUGGCUCCAAGAUGGCUGACACUGCUGAUUUAAGGUUACUGGACAUAUGUAGACGUAUCAACAGAUGGGUAUGUCCUCUUUGCCUCUGAAGACACUGCUAAAUGAAAUGAGC
rnacentral:lncRNA from 1 species